rnacentral:tRNA from 1 species
UUUGAUAACUCUUUAUGGGGUCCUGCGUUUCGGCCGCGGGAAAGAAGGUUUCUUCUAUCAAAU